rnacentral:snRNA from 1 species
AUCGCUUCUCGGCCUUUUGGCUAAGAUCAAGUGUAGUAUCUGUUCUUAUCAGUUUAAUAUCUGAUACGUCCCCUAUCUGGGGACCAUAUAUUAAAUGGAUUUUGGAACAGGGAGAUGGAAGAAGAGCUUGCUCUGUCCACUCCACGCAUCGACCUGGUAUUGCAGUACCUCCAGGACCGGUGCACCUCUC